UUGCUAUCCAAAUUGAUUUCUUUUAUACAUUCUUUCGAUUAUCAGUGACCCAUACUUGCUUAAAUUCCAGAAAGAGGAAAAUAAGAUUCACUGUUUGUCUGCUCAUCCUCUUCCUCACUCUGUUUUGCGCAGUUCGUUCUUCUUUUUACGGCUGCGGGGUGAUUCAUUUUUCUUCUUCCUGUUGUUCUCCGUGUUGGCGCUGCUGAAACGUAAAAUUAUGAGUUUUGUUGAGAGGUGAGAUUUUCUUUUGGUCGAAUUUUAUGUUCGUUGUUGUGUGCUACUCUGCUAACAAGUUCGACUUGGUUCAUUUAAUUAGCUUUCUGUUUCAUCUUGAUAUAUCUUAUGGCUCUAAUUGGCUUAUUAGCUGACACAUAGCCAACUAUAUAUAUGAAUUAAGUUGUUAGUUAAAGCUGACAUAGGAUUCAUGGCAAUUCGAUACUAUAAAUGAAUUCAAGAUGAGGUGCAUUUUUUGGGGUUUAAUAUUUAAAAAGUGAUAACCAAUUGCUUGACAUAUUUUAUCGGAAUUGCUGGAGAUGGAUGCUGACUUAAAGGGGUGGCAGGAAAGGAAUUGGGAGUUGGUGAGGUUGGAAAUAUUUGAGACUGUGGCUGCUGAAAUGUUGAAAAGGUUGAGUUUUCUUUGUGUAGGCCACGACAAAUUUAUUUUAUUUAAUUUCGGUUAACGUUGGGAUAUAUGUUACCUGGAAGAAAAUUAUUAUCACAUGACAGAUUGGUCAGAUCAUUACAAAGAAACAAAUUUAACUUUUAGAAUACAAAAGUUAUCGUAGCUAACAAUGACCCUGAAAAAGAAGAAUAGUUUGCAAGGAGAUGCUUGUACGUGCCCCUAUGAUUACUUUGUAUCUGUCGAUUACAAACAAGCUGAAUAUUGUUGUUGCUGCAUUUUCUCUUGUUUCCAUUGUUUUCCCACAUUGGAGAGCUUCAAUUAAGCUGUCGAUAACACCAACAGACAUAAUCAGGAUCUUGGGAUUCUCGUGUAUCGAAAGGUUGAGCAAUGUUGUGACUGCUUUCUUCCGGAUUCUUGUAUCACGGGAACCAAGCAGAGUCAUCAGAAAUGGAAUAGCUCCAGACUCAGCUAUGAUUCUGCGAUUGUCCAUUCCAUUUUUCAUGAGCAAUCUUAGCUUAUAUGCUUCUGUAUAUCUGGAGAUCCUGUUUGCAGUUUGCCAACUAAAAACUUUGUUGUCAUUUUCACAACAUAUGUGGCAGCUUUAGUAGCAGAAAUGUAGUCAAUCGCCUUGUCACAUUUCUUAAUCUUACUAUUGCUGCUACCUUCUGAAUAUGAAGGAGAUAAUGUAGGUUCUAUUGUUGGGAUGUUGUUCUCUUGACCCCACUGAUGGAUUAGACUUUUUAGUGCGUAGUUGGGAAUGAGAGCCAUAUGUAUCAGCCACUGACCACUUUUUGGACAAGUGUGGUGCCCUGAUGAGCAAUUAAAUUUCGAUCAUAAGUAUGGCCUGAUGCUACUAUCACAUGGUCCCUCAUCAAGUCAAGUGAAGUUGGACAACAGGAUUCGUUAGGGAUGUCGAUUGUCGGCAACCACUUAAUAACACAAGGAGGAUUGACCAGCACGAGCACUCAUUAGUUCUGGCUGCUUCAAAGUUUGCUUAAUCAUAAGGUGUUCUUCUUCCAAAAUUGUUCCUUUAAAGUUUGUCUCUAGAUUGUGUGAACCAGCUUGAAAGUGCCAUUUUUUUUAACAAAUGAAUAAGACAUGCAUAUAAGAAUUAUAUUUUUUGUCUUUUAAUGAUUGAAUAUCAUAUUGUGUUCACUUAUAUGAUGUGCUUGUAUAUGUUUACCUUCAUUUUGGCUUAGAGAAUUCUAAACUUUGGUUCUUAAAGUGCAAAUGGAAAAUAUUAGAAGCAAGAUAGAAAGUAUUAGAAGAUGAAAUGUAGCUUUUUUUGAACACAAGCUGUUUAACUAUGCAACAACUUAUAUUAGGAGACAUUGCUUGUUAACUUCUCUUAUUGUGCAAAAGAUGUUUGGCUUGAGAACUUACUACAGAAACACAUGUUCACAACUUUAUCUGACAAAAAUGUAUCCAUCUUAAAUUGGCAAUUACAAUUUGACGAAAUGAUAAUCUUACACCUCCACCGGCCCCUUCCUUGGAAGGCUACUUGGCAUGUUAGUUCUACGAAGAUUCCAUGGUAUGCUCCUCUAUGAAUAAACAAUUUGUUCUCUUGGACUAACUUUUCCCCUCUUAGAACUGGAUUUCAUCAUUUGAAAUGAAUUGUCUUUGUGUUUCCCUUCAGCCAUCCUCAACUUGUAGGUACUCUACUCAAGCUCCCAAAGGACGAGGGGUGAAUGACUACCUUAAACAAUUCAUGUUUGCUCAUGGAAACUUAACCAGAAGUCCUUUAAAUUGAGCAAGUGUUAAUGUUGUUGAAGUUCAACAUCUUCUGCAGACUCUGAUAAGCUGCUGUUGCUCAUCUGCUGGAUUUUAUAUUUCUCUUUUCAGUUGGUAAAGGGUUAUUUUUGGCUUAGACGUGAGAUCAGAUUAGAUGAAACAUUAAAUUUGACUCCUGGCUGAAGAACUCACAAGAAUGUGAGAUUUAUGCUUGUAAGAGGCCAGCGUUAAUUGUUCUUUUGGAAACACACUGUCAAACACACCAAAGUGUGAAAGAAGAUUUUAAUUUUGAUGGUAUGAUUGAGGUGGCUGCAACACGCCAUUCAGGAGGAAUUGCCAUAUUGUGGUUGGCCAAUGUACUAGCUGUUGAUCCAGUAGCCACCACUGCACAAGAAAUUCACUGGGUCCUUGCUCCAACAACUGGAUAGUCCAUCGGUACAAGUUAUAUACAGAGAGCAGAAUUGUAUUGCAGAUAGAUUAGCUAAAUAUGGUGCAACGCAUGUACAUGAGCAAUGCCUACUUUUUGGAACACCCCCACUUUUUGCUAUGUCUUGUUAUGAACAAGAUCACCAGGGCACACUCCACAGCAGGGUGACUCGGCAGCCUAGUAGGAAUGUUGCACAGUCUCUCUCUGGCUCAUAUAGUUUAUCUAGUAUGUGUAAUAGAAGAACUUCUUUAGUAGCUAGUACUUCAAGUACUAGUCCUGUUUCCCAAGUAGUGGGAGACCAAGAGCCUAGCUCUAUCUUUGUACAACGGAUGCCUUGUAUGCAUCCAAGACUCUAAACUAAUGUAAAUGUUUGCUAUGUUAUAAUAUUGCCUAUCUUUCCAACCAAAAAAAAAAUAUUA